rnacentral:tRNA from 1 species
GCCUGGGUGGCUCAGUCGGUUAGGCGUCUGACUUCAGCUCAGGUCAUGAUCUCGCGGUUCGUGAGUUCGAGCCCCACGUCGGGCU